AACGCGAAGAACCUUACCUGGGCUCGAAAUGUAGUGGAAUCCGGCAGAAACGCCGGCGUCUAGCAAUAGACCGCUAUAUAGGUGCUGCAUGGCUGUCGUCAGCUCGUGUCGUGAGAUGUUGGGUUAAGUCCCGCAACGAGCGCAACCCUUAUCUUCAGUUGCUACCAUUUAGUUGAGCACUCUGACGAAACCGCCUCGGAUAACGGGGAGGAAGGUGGGGAUGACGUCAAGUCCUCAUGGCCUUUAUGUCCAGGGCUACACACGUGCUACAAUGGCCGGUACAAACCGCUGCAAACCCGCGAGGGGGAGCUAAUCCCAGAAAGCUGGUCUCAGUUCGGAUUGAAGUCUGCAACUCGACUUCAUGAAGCUGGAAUCGCUAGUAAUCGCGGAUCAGAACGCCGCGGUGAAUACGUUCCCGGGCCUUGUACACACCGGUACUA
rnacentral:rRNA from 1 species